rnacentral:rRNA from 1 species
UUAAAUUGAAGAGUUUGAUCAUGGCUCAGAUUGAACGCUGGCGGCAGGCCUAACACAUGCAAGUCGAACGGUAACAGAAAGCAGCUUGCUGCUUUGCUGACGAGUGGCGGACGGGUGAGUAAUGUCUGGGAAACUGCCUGAUGGAGGGGGAUAACUACUGGA